rnacentral:rRNA from 1 species
UACGUAGGGUGCAAGCGUUGUCCGGAAUUAUUGGGCGUAAAGAGCUCGUAGGCGGUUUGUCGCGUCGAAUGUGAAAACCCGGGGCUCAACCCCGGGCCUGCAUUCGAUACGGGCAGACUAGAGUUCGGUAGGGGAGUCUGGAAUUCCUGGUGUAGCGGUGGAAUGCGCAGAUAUCAGGAGGAACACCGAUGGCGAAGGCAGAUCUCUGGGCCGUAACUGACGCUGAGGAGCGAAAGCGUGGGGAGCGAACAGG